rnacentral:lncRNA from 1 species
CCCCUGCCGCCGCCACUGGCGCUGGCUGGGCUCCGGAAAGCUAGUCCGGAGCGGAGGAAUCUAUUGUUAUUUAUUGUGUGGCGGUUGCAUGCUGUACUCGCGGCGGCCCGGCCCUCGCCCGGGAGUGCGUGUGUGCGCGCGUGUGUGCGCGAGUGUGUGUGAGCGAGUGAGUGUGUGCGCGGGGGUGCGCGCGCGGGCGGGAGUGGGCGCGCGCGGGGAAAGGCCCGAAAACACCUUAGUUUGCACCGAGAGACCAUUUGCAGCGGAACCCGAAAGUUUGCAAGAGGAAGAGAGCGCGCGGCGAGCAAGCGGGCAAGGGGCAGCGGCAGUGGCGCCGGGGACCAUGGUGCUGCCGGCGCCUCCUCCGCGGGCGUGAAGGCGGUGCUCCCACUGCCUCCCCGGACUCCGCGGGUAAGUCGAGGCGGCCGCGGGCGCCGGGGCGAGGACGCGGGCGGGGGCGCAAGGGCAAGGGACACCCUAGAGCCCCAGGCUGCACCCGGGGGCUCUCUGUGCCCAAAGCGCCAGCAUGAGCGGUGCGAGCGCAGCGAAAAGGCGCCCGGAGCCAGGCGUGUGUGCCCAUCCUCAAGCCGGUAGGUGCUUCGAAAUACUGGACUUUCGCUCCCCCCCCUUUUUUUUUUUUUGCCCUUUCUUUCUUAAAUCCAAAAAUCUGGAGAUCAAAGUUUAGCAUGGAGUGUAAAGUGCUCCGGUAAAAUAUGGUGACAUCCCUCGCCCCCCUUCUCACCCCACUCCCCCCUUAUAACUAUUAAUUAUUUCCAAGUCAUUGUGUCCAAAUACCCUUGCCGGGCCGAUUACAAAGUGUAUUGAUUUAGUCUGGGCUCAUCCUACGCGUUCGUUUUAAUUCAUUUUCCUUUUGCUCGACCAGAAAACCCGAAAUGAAACUUACUUCUUCCUCUUCCCAAACUCCCCCACCCCUAGUCGUCCUCUGGGAGGCUUGGGCAGAAUAAUGAAAUUAAUAUAAACAUUUCAUUUGGGUGCCUUUGAGCUUCUCCAGCCCACUUAUGCGGGGCUGGUGUUGCUCUCGUGUCCGCUCACAGGUAUUUUCUGAGUUCGGAUUUCCUUUUUUGUUACUGCUCCUUAAGCAGGAAUGCUGGCGGUCGUUCUGUAUUCCCUUUGAAAGGAGCCUAGACAUACCUUGAAACCGUCUACACUUUACCUUUCAUUGUCCGGAGGCUUCAGGAUUUAGGGCUUGCACAAUAGCGAAGUUGAGAAAACCUGAAAGAUAUUUAAGGGAUUUUUCUACUGCUGAAAAUAUAUUGAAGAAUCUCUGCAAAAUUUUUACCUUCCAUCUCCCUGCCCUCUCGUUUUUCCACAGUGAGAAUCAGUCUGGGGGGAGAUGUCUUAGCUAGAAUUUGAAG